UACGUAGGUGGCUAGCGUUGUCCGGAAUCAUUGGGCGUAAAGAGCGUGUAGGCGGCCCGGUAAGUCCGCUGUGAAAGUCGGGGGCUCAACCCUCGAAUGCCGGUGGAUACUGUCGGGCUAGAGUGCGGAAGAGGCGAGUGGAAUUCCUGGUGUAGCGGUGAAAUGCGCAGAUAUCAGGAGGAACACCGAUUGCGAAGGCAGCUCGCUGGGACGUUACUGACGCUGAGACGCGAAAGCGUGGGGAGCAAACAGG
rnacentral:rRNA from 1 species